rnacentral:misc_RNA from 1 species
AACGCACAUUGCGCUCCCUGGUAUUCCGGAGAGCACGCCCGUUCCAGAAUCAGUAAAAAUCUCACCCCAAGUUUGGAGUCUUCGGCCUCCAGGCCCAGGGUGGACUAUGGAUUUUUGCCGUUUGGCAAUCAUCUCAAACCAAAUGUAUGUACACCGGAGCCUCGGUCUCUCGGUCGUCAAAGUGCAGCAGAUCUAUUUGUGGUCGCUUGGACAACCGGAGGGACGACUCUGAUGGACGUGCUUCAAGUCUCAACCACGUUUCUCGAAUCGCAACGGUUCGGGUUUCGUUAACUUGAUCUGGAAUCGGGUGGGAAAACCCGCUGAACUUAA